AUGCAGCUUAUGUUGGAGUAGACCCCUGUUAUCUUGUUUCAGCUUGUGAUCUCACCUGUUUUUCUCAUUUUUCCUCCAGUCUCCUGGCUGCUCUUAGUAAAGCAGAGGCAGAAUUUGCUUCAUUGUCCAUGUCUAGACAGUGGUCUGCCUUUAGAGUAGAGUGCCUCUAAUGCCUGGCUCCCUUUGGCAGCAUGGACAGGCCCAGGUCAUCCCUGAUGUGACAGCACAGAUGAGCAGAAGCCUGUAAUGUUGGAAGUGCAGCUGUCUGCAGACUACAAGCAGCUGUGUCCGGAACAAAACCCUCACGACAGCCUCUGCCCUGUAAGCAGGUCAGGACUCCUGGAUCCUGGAUGUUUCUGAGAAUUACAGCAAGAAAGCCAUAAAAAUAAGGACAACAAGGGUCGGGCUGCCGGUGCUGCCUUAACCUCCCUGCCCUGCGGGCUGCAUGCAGUUGUUUCCAUCCCCACGAGUGGUGUGGGUGCCACAGGCUGCUCCUCUCCUCCCUGCCUUCCUGCUAGGGGCAAAGGCUGCUCGGAACAAGCCAUCCAAGCACAGACCAGCACCGGCUUUAAUACAUCGUGUCUCUUUAUAAACAAUUUUAUUGUUUUGCACGACAAAUAUGGUUAGAAAGAGCAGGUACGAUACACAACUUGAUCACUUCAGGGACGUGUGGCUGCUCAGUUUGGUGAGUCCUGCGGUCUUGCAGAGCCUGGGGUGAGAGCACAGAGCUCUGCUGCAGCCGUGGGGCUAGGGCAGUUCGUGCAUGGACGCAGCUGAGGCAGUGUGGUUGGCUUUACCUUCAUCACCAGGCUGAGACGGGCACGGGCAAGGAGCUGGUUCUGACUUACAUAAUGCUUUGGACUUGGUCUGCGUGCCCCGUGGUUUCUACAUCAAUCAAAUCUGCCUGUUCCAGUAGCUGUGGCAGCCAGGAAUUGUUUUUAGGAAACUUGAUGUAAAGAAACCAAACAAACCCACGGUAUCAACCACGUGGCUGUAAUUCUAUAUUCACAUGAUAGACCUGGAGUAUUGCUUGGAAAAUGAGUGCAAGCUUUAUGUUUUGUCUGCAGAAUAACAACAUUGGGAUAACAACAGGCAGAACAAAAUGACAAAAACAUGCUUGGAGGCUCGGUGGAUGGGCUGUCAGUACCUGUGGAGGUAACUCUGAAACACCACUUGCGUGUCUGCUGUGGCUGUAGCACCAAGCUAGCCUCCAGGGUCCUUGUAUUGACAAAGUCCACAGAGAAAGUUAAGAGCACUGAGGAACUGGAAGUACACAUUGGGAAUACACCUCAGCCUUACAGUGUUAAGAGACAGCUCUAGGAAUUUUGUAUAGUAAACACUUAAUGCUUAGAAACAUUUUCAUUACAGCCAGCAACAGCUCCCAGCAAUACAUGCCUCGAUACCUCCAGAAGUGAUCAUCUCUGCUGUUACGUUGUCUUCACGUGGACUCUUUGAAUAUAGCAGUUCGGGGGACACAGCUGAGCGUUGCAGUUGAUGAGGGAGAGUCUGCAAAGGGAGGCUGCAGCACAUCUGUGGAAAUCACGGUGAACACAGAAGCCAGGGAGCAGAGAAAUGAGGACCUGGGUGGGUGCCAGAACAGAGGCUGAUGGAGUACCUGGAACAAAGUGUCAAAGAGCAGGGAUUUCCCUGCUCCCACUAAGGGCUGAAUUUUGCAGGAGUGGCUGCCUCAAACAGAGGCAAAGUGUGGCUAUUGAGGGAGCAGCUGGAAUAAGGUCAGCAGCACCAGUCUGAUCCUAUAUGUACAUGUGCACACUCUCAGCCCCCCUACACACCCUCCUGUCACAGCAGCCUGUGCCCCUAGUGCCAGGAACAGCACCAGACAAACUCCUGAGUAAUGCCUGUAACCCAGCAGCAUGUUCACUUCUGCAGCUCUUGGUACCCCUCAGCCUUCUCAGCUGUUUGGGGCCGGUGGAUUUUUAAUAGCACUGCAAAUGAGCGUAACAGUGCUUCCAGGGCUGAGGCUACAGUAAGUGAUAAUGCUGGAAUGCCAGCUACUACUACGCAGGCAAAUUCAGACACUGGGACCUGCUACGUUGGCCCAGAAGGACUGAUUAUACAUGUGUGGGUGUUUUAGUCCAGAAACAUAAUUUGACUUGCCAGCAGAUUUGUGUGCACGCGUGCUGGUGUAUGGAAAUACCUGCUUGGAACUACGACUUCUGGCAAGACCUGAGGCCAAACAGGCAGAAAGAGAAAACAAUGGGUGAGCGGUGUGACUUGAAGACAGCUAUAGACUUCUGUAACUAAUUGCUGCUUCGCCGAUGAAUACCUAAAUCUGUUUAGGGUGGAGGGUAAUGAAGGGGGAACCUCAGGCAGUUGAGCACAGGGCAGACUAUCCAAAGGAGCGUGACUUAUUUAAACAUUUUUAGCUACCCAUCAUUUUAAAACAUUAAUGUAGACAAGACCAGUGGUGCCAGCCAACAGAGGCUAACUUAAAAUUUAGCUUGUUCCUGGAGCUCAUAGCCUUCAGCUUAUGCUGCUGACUGCAGUAUGUCCUAGCAGGUCUCCAGAAACAGAUCUACUGACAGCUUCUAGGAAUGUAAAGAUUGCUACUUUACUUCAAACAGACCCUGAACACGUUAAGAGAAAUGAAAAAAGAACACUGUCAAGUGUUCUGAGCACCCAGAAGAGAUGUCCUUCUGGUGCUGCAUCUCAGAUACAGAGGAUGGCUUCUCUUCAACACUUCAGUUUCAGAGAUGUCAAUUCUUUUUUUUUUAAUCGUUGAAGUACUUAGUACUCUAGUUAGACUGUGGUCUCCCAUCCUCCCUGAGCAGAGCUGGAAGAGAGAAGGAAGGAGGCGUCUGCAACUCAGAAGAGAAUAAAAUGGACUGAGCAAGCAGGAAACUGUGGGCACCAGCUUCUGUCCUCUUGCUUAAAGGGAGAGCCAACAGACUGGAGUAGGUCUCUACAAUUUUAUUCUCAUUACUUACAGUCACUGCACUGUGCCACAAGCUAUAAGUGCAAAGCAUCCUAUUGCAUGUUGCUAGCUUUGCACAACCCUAGCAGAAGGAACCGUCUGCUUUUGGUUAAAACCCUUGCCAUUAACACAUGCUACUAGCUGCAGAACAAAACCCUUGCUAGAGGACGCAGUCAUUUUUGAAAACUAUUUGUAAUUUCAGUAAUCUUUUCCGAAUGCUUCAGCAGCACGUAUUGAAAUUGUUUACUGUUAGUCUUACAAAGCUCUGCUUGUUUUCUUUCACAGAAAAUAGCAGCAUAUUGCAAAAUAGGAAGGUCCUGUAGCAAAAUACAUAGUUUAACUAAAUAAUCCAUCAAAAAUGUUUUCUAAUUAUGACAGUCCUGUUUCAUUUCUUUGCAUAUAACAUAUGUUGUGGAAUUGAACUCUAAUGUGGUAUAUUCACAAAGAGAAAGCAAAACAGUGUACUGCAGUACCAACUCAAGAAGGUUGGUACAGUUUGGCAAGUAAUUAUUUGUCUCCGCCAUUUUAUGAUCUGAGCUGACUUGAAGAGGCAGGUGGACGUGAUCAGUAAGCACCAGUCGCUUAGCAGCCUCUGCCUCCUUCUUUUGUGCCUUCUUUCCUCCUGACUCAGCUUCAGACUGGAAGGUGAAGCACACAGAGUUUACAGGAAAGUGGAUGCGAGCCAUAAAACACAAGUAGCGUGUGAGCUGUGGUUGUGUCCUGCCCCCUUCAAAGGUUGGUUUGAAGAAACCUGACAUCCUAACAAGUCAGUCACAUCAAUUAACUGAAACUUAAUAGAGACAAAAUCGCCUGUCACUGUGAAAACCUCCUCGUGUACUUCACUACUUUUACAACCCAUCAUCCAGAUUUCAAUCUGCUUGAAGUACUGCACAGGGGCUUGCAAAAGGACCAAAGCCGAUGCUUUCUUUUCUGUGGUGAGUGCUGAGAAUCCAGGAAGAGCAAUGUUCAAGCACGACUACUUCCAAAUGACCAGCUGCACAUGCUGAACGCCUCAGUGAAAAGUGAAUAAAGAGUAGGAGAGACAGAAAAAUGUCCUCGUAACUGCUGUCUUUGAGACCUGUUAUUUAGGAGUGGCUCUUUCCAGCAUCAUUGAUGAUUGCUUUCCUGGAAAAGCUGCUAAUAGAGUGAGCUAUAAAACCCAUUGUUGCACAAGUUCAGCAUGUAAAACAUGCCUUGUGAAUCUUUUUGAGUAUUUCAAUCUAAACACUGUUUUUUUUUCCCAGUGUGCUCCUUUGCAAUAAAAUGCAAACAGACACAUACUCUCACUCACCUGUAAGUUUGUGACCUGGUUGCACUAAAACUGUAUCUUUAUACAGCAGCUCCUGCCACGUCAGCUUUCACGUUGAACCACUGCUCAAUGCUUACAUUACUUUUAUUUCGUGAGCAGAAUUAGAACCAGGUAUUUGAGUGAUGAAAUAAACAUCUGGUGCCAAUAAAUACAGAUCUUUUUAAGUAGCAUUGCCUAAAACAGUUCCAUUUGUUUUCUAGAUUUUAAAGUACCCAGGAGCAUACAAAAUUAUUUCCAGCACAAAUUGGCUGCAAUCUCACUGUGACAUUAAGGAAUUACUUCAAUUAGACUUUCUCUUUGCUGUUCCACUGAUGACUGACAAUUGCAGUAACUACAAUACGACAAAGAAAAUGUCAAUUCAUUUGUCUGGGCACUUAACUGCGUACGCAUCACUACGAGCAUGGGUGCUGCUGAUUAUUCCACUGAUGCAUUUUUUAAGGAUGUUGUAAAACCUGUAUUUUUAGUGACACCAUUAAUAUCAGUUUU